AUAUGAAGACAGGCACGGUCUUUCUUCUAGUGGUUUUCAUCACUCUGGGGAUGGAGAUGGUCUGCUCUCAGAGACUUUCCAGAGGAUUACAAAGAUCUAGAGUCUGCCCAGAGGUGCCCAAAGGAGCCGUUGGGAUUUGUGCUGAAAUGUGCACAAGAGAUAGAUCAUGUCCCAGGGGAAUGAAAUGCUGCAGCAAUGGAUGUGGUCAUGUCUGCAAACAUCCUGUCUUCAGAAAGCGUGGAAAUGAUGACGGUGUGGUAACUAUAAUGGAACGUUAGAAGGCAUGCUUGGAGACCAGCCCCAGAAGAUUUCUUAUGAAUCCAAUGCUUGGUAUACCAGCAAGACCCUUUCACAAACCAUUCCUGGCUAUUCUCUAUCCCUAGAAUUGCAGCUCUAAAAGAUGAAGAUCUAAAAUGUCAGACUGAUUGCUUUCUAAAGAGCUUGUGUCCAAAAUAAACUGUAU